GAAGAGGCAAUGGAUCUGAAAGGGUCUUAAGUCAUGGCAGUAAGGCUAGAAACCGGACGAUCUAGUCCUGGAUAAGACGAAGGUGAGCGAAAGCUCGCUGGAGGUCUGCAAGGGUCCUGACGUGCAAAUCGGUCCCCUGAUCUGGGAUUAGGGGUCAAAAACCAAUCUAGUCCGGUGAUCGCUAGUUCCCACCGAAGUGGAUCGCAGUCCUGCCUUAGCUGAGGUUGUCUGUAUUGUAGAGCACCGAUC
rnacentral:rRNA from 1 species